AUUGAACGCUGGCGGCAGGCUUAACACAUGCAAGUCGAGCGGGGGAAGGUAGCUUGCUACCGGACCUAGCGGCGGACGGGUGAGUAAUGCUUAGGAAUCUGACUAUUAGUGGGGGACAACAUCUCGAAAGGGAUGCUAAUACCGCAUACGUCCUACGGGAGAAAGCAGGGGAUCUUCGGACCUUGCGCUAAUAGAUGAGCCUAAGUCGGAUUAGCUUGUUGGUGGGGUAAAGGCCUACCAAGGCGACGAUCUGUAGCGGGUCUGAGAGGAUGAGCCGCCACACUGGGACUGAGACACGGCCCAGACUCCUACGGGAGGCAGCAGUGGGGAAUAUUGGACAAUGGGGGGAACCCUGAUCCAGCCAUGCCGCGUGUGUGAAGAAGGCCUUAUGGUUGUAAAGCACUUUAAGCGAGGAGGAGGCUACUUUAGUUAAUACCUAGAGAUAGUGGACGUUACUCGCAGAAUAAGCACCGGCUAACUCUGUGCCAGCCGCCGCCGUAA
rnacentral:rRNA from 1 species